AUCAACUUUCGAUUGGUAGGAUAGAGGCCUACCAUGGUGGUAACGGGUAACGGGGUGUUAGGGCACGACACCGGAGAGGGAGCCUGAGAAACGGCUACCACAUCCAAGGAUGGCAGCAGGCGCGCAAAUUACCCAAUCCCGACACGGGGAGGUAGUGACAAUAAAUAACAAUACGGGGUUCUUUCGGAUUUCGUAAUUGGAAUGAGUACAAUUUAAAUCUCUUAACGAGGAACAAUUGGAGGGCAAGUCUGGUGCCAGCAGCCGCGGUAAUUCCAGCUCCAAUAGCGUAUAUUAAAGUUGCUGCAGUUAAAAAGCUCGUAGUUGAAUUUCGGGACCAAUAUGUCGGUCGUGCCUCGGUACGUACUGGCAUCGUUGGUUUCUCCCUUCUGAAGAACCAUGAUGUCAUUUAUUUGGUGUCGUGGGGAAUCAGGACUGUUACUUUGAAAAAAUUAGAGUGUUUAAAGCAGGCUCACGCUUGAAUACAUUAGCAUGGAAUAAUGAAAUAGGACGUUUGAUUCUAUUUUGUUGGUUUCUAGGAUCGACGUAAUGAUUAAUAGGGAUAGUUGGGGGCAUUAGUAUUCAAUUGUCAGAGGUGAAAUUCUUGGAUUUAUUGAGGACUAACUACUGCGAAAGCAUUUGCCAAGGAUGUUUUCAUUAAUCAAGAACGAAAGUUAGGGGAUCGAAGACGAUCAGAUACCGUCGUAGUCUUAACCAUAAACUAUGCCGACUAGGGAUCGGAUGAUGUUAAUUUUUUAAUGACUCAUUCGGCGCCUUACGGGAAACCAAAGUGUUUGGGUUC
rnacentral:rRNA from 1 species